GUUAACUUUCCGACAUCGGGGCCUAUACAAAAACUUCUUAUAUAUUCUGAUUUUUAGCGUCUCUGAUGUUGACACGUUGGAUUGUCAUAAAUGUAAUGCUGUUUAAAUAUUACCCAUGAAAUCCACGAUUAUUUUCGAAUAAUUUUCGAAUAAUCACCAGCUUUUACUAUCACGGUGCUUUAGAAAACAGAAUUUGCUUUAUAUAUGUAGUUGUAUUUUAAAGACAAUGCUGCUAAUUUGUGUUUAAUUACGUUUUUGUCAUUCAGUGACUGAUUCUAUUAAAUCACGAUAUUUAUGAAAUAAAAAAUGUUGAUUUAG
rnacentral:sRNA from 1 species